UAAGAGACAGCAGCCGCCGCGGGAAAACGUAGGUGGCAAGCGUUGUCCGGAAUUAUUGGGCGUAAAGCGCGCGCAGGCGGAUCAGUUAGUCUGUCUUAAAAGUUCGGGGCUUAACCCCGUGAUGGGAUGGAAACUGCUGAUCUAGAGUAUCGGAGAGGAAAGUGGAAUUCCUAGUGUAGCGGUGAAAUGCGUAGAUAUUAGGAAGAACACCAGUGGCGAAGGCGACUUUCUGGACGAAAACUGACGCUGAGGCGCGAAAGCCAGGGGAGCGAACGGGAUUAGAUACCCGCGUAGUCCCUGUCUCUUAUACA
rnacentral:rRNA from 1 species